rnacentral:hammerhead_ribozyme from 1 species
AUCCAACUGACGAGUUUCAAACAGAACAAAACGUGCGUCCUGAAU